UACGUAGGGUCCGAGCGUUGUCCGGAAUUACUGGGCGUAAAGAGCUCGUAGGUGGUUUGUCGCGUUGUUCGUGAAAACCCAUGGCUCAACUGUGGGCUUGCGGUCGAUACGGGCAGGCUAGAGUUCGGUAGGGGAGACUGGAAUUCCUGGUGUAGCGGUGAAAUGCGCAGAUAUCAGGAGGAACACCGGUGGCGAAGGCGGGUCUCUGGGCCGAUACUGACGCUGAGGAGCGAAAGCGUGGGGAGCGAACAGG
rnacentral:rRNA from 1 species